rnacentral:rRNA from 1 species
ACACGACUACAUUAGAUACCGUGUAGUCCUAGCCGUAAACGAUACUCGCUAGGUGUCGGCCACGGUGCGACCGUUGUCGGUGCCGUAGGGAAGCCGUGGAGCGAGCCACCUGGGAAGUACGGCCGCAAGGCUGAAACUUAAAGGAAUUGGCGGGGGAGCACAACAACGGGUGGAGCUUGCGGUUUAAUUGGAUUCAACGCCGGAAAUCUUACCGGGACCGACAGCAACAUGAAGGCCAAGCUGAAGACUUUGCCGGAUUAGCUG